UGGCAACUGAGUUGUGUUUCAGCCCAAAGCAGCAAAUGGAAUCCAGGUGACUGACAUCAUUAUCUAUCAGACAUGUGAGAGAACUCCUUAGGAUGAUGUUACUCAUUAUCUGCAACCACAUGAGAAACCCGGAGCAAGAACCACCCAGCCAAGGCCAAUCUCUAGAACUUUGAAAGAUAAUCAUAAAUGAAGCUUCAGGACCAUCAUCUGACAUAGGGGAAGAAGACUUACAUAGAAGGCCUAACCAGCACCCAAGAUCAUGGUGGUCAUGAAAGAUUUCAACAAUAAAGAUGUAUUUGAGCAGAGACGUAACAGGAGGGAGGAAACGAGCCAUGCAGCUAUUUCACUGAAGAGUAUUUCAGGUGGUACACAUUCUUCUUUAUGGUACGGGGAUAGUGAAAAAACAUUCCGAAAUGCAAUGUCAGCUUACAGAUGCAAAAAUCACUAGAUGUCUUUAGGCACUAGCUGUUCUUCCACUUCAAGAAAUCACAGUGGACAGUGUUCCUAUGGUUACCAGGAAGGAUGCAUUUAUGGAGAUAGCUCAAGACCAUAAAAGGAAGUAAUCAGAGAGGGGGAAGCAUAAUACUUCAUUACCAUGUCU
rnacentral:lncRNA from 1 species